rnacentral:rRNA from 1 species
UACGUAGGGGGCAAGCGUUGUCCGGAAUCAUUGGGCGUAAAGAGCGCGUAGGCGGUCCGGUAAGUCCGCUCUGAAAGUCCGGGGCUCAACCCCGGGAGGCGGGCGGAUACUGUCGGGCUAGAGUCCGGAAGAGGCGAGUGGAAUUCCCGGUGUAGCAGUGAAAUGCGUAGAGAUCGGGAGGAACACCAGUGGCGAAGGCGGCUACCUGGACCAGCACUGACACUGAGGCACGAAAGCGUGGGGAGCAAACAGG